GCUUCGCUAUAGUAGGUUUUACUUACUGGAUGCAGCAAUUAGGAUGGAACUACAGCAUAUUUACGGAAAACAGGUGGAGUUGCUGAUAAAGCACUGAAAGAACAGAAGACGAGAGACCUACUGUACAAAGAGACAGAGCAGGUGGCCGUUACAAUGAUAAAGAGUCGAGCAGCUGCUGACUGAAGAAGCCUCUGUGUUUUGGUCAGGUCGGGUUAUGUUGUGUCUCCUCUGCAGGGAACCGAGGGAAACCAUCAGCAGAUCUGAGGCUGCAAACAGGCAGUGGGAUCCGUCUGACCUUCACUUUAACUGAGAGCU